CCAUGUUUAUAAUGCCUUAUGAAUGCAUUAUAAUGUGUUAUGAGUAUGUUCAUAGAGUCUUAUAGAAAUGACAUUCAAAGAAAGUGUUACCGAAUUUGUUUAAGAAUGUUUCUGUAAAUUUCUGUAAAAAAAAUUAAAAGCACAUUCAUUUUGAAAGAGUCUUACCAAGGACUUGAAAUUACAGAAUUCUGUUGUCUUUAAAUUUGUUUUAACCCACAAAAUACUCAUUCAAAAGUCAGGGAAAACUGUGCAUCGCUUGGCCAUAGCUGAAUUUAAUGUAAACCUGAUGCCGUGACAAUUUUGUGAACGUCUCUAGUGGCAAAUCAGUGUUUUAGCUUCAUUUGCUGGACUGAGUUUCAGCAGUCAGCAGGCUGGUUAACUGGCAGCUUAAUUUGUUUAGCUUUUUUGACCUUUUUUAACAAGUGUGGAAUGUUUAUUCAACUUAAAAUCAAGUUUUUACAGUUUCCAUUUACAUAAUACUUAUCAUUUUUCAUGUUACAGAGGCUGAAAGGUAUAUAGGCAUUUCAUAUUGUUGUUAAUCAUCAUUUACAAUUAUUCAAAAAUGACCCUGUUUACACCAGCGAGUAGUGAUUUAGUAUCUAGUUUUUAAUAAAAAAAAAACUAAAAUCUAUUUUAAAAACUAUUUUUUAGCAUCACUUUGGCAAUUACCGGAAAUAUGAUAGCAACAACAAAGAAACCUUUCUGAAACACCACAGCUACCACCUGAGGUGCCAUAGCAACAUUUAAUUUAAGCGCCAUCAGACCAACCUCCUAUGAUACAUUAGCAACCACUUGGCAACAUCAUAGCAAUUCUUCAGCAACACCACAGCAACCACCUGGGAUCCCAAAAUAACCAUUAGGCAACAUCUUAGCAAUCCAUCAGCAACACCAUAUCAACUACCUACCUACAAUACUACACUACACAAUCACUUACGACCUGAUGCUAACUUUCUGGAAUGCCACAGAAGCCAACUGAAGCACUGUACCAUAGCAACCACUUUCAAGUACUGUUUCACACUCGUCACCAGAUUCCUGGAUCUCCCUGACAACCACUUAAACCAUGUGUUCUAAACCACAUUAACCUCAGGAAGGGAUUUUUAAUAAUCCAAUAAAAAUGUAUUAACAUAUUUUAAAAUAUAUGGGGAAGCAUAUAUAAAAUAUAGAAUUAUAUAUAUUUAUUUUACAUAUGGGCCAAAACCACAUCAGAAUUACUCUGAAUGACUUUGUUUUUAUAGCAUUUUUAUGGUAAUACACUUAUACAUAGAAUAUAGGCAUAUAAUUUUUUUAUAUAGUAAAGUAUAGAUCAAACAAUUACAGGACUUUAUGGACAUUUUCCUGACCAUUUGAAUACAUUUACAGCAGAAUGUGUGUCACAUUUGUCCUCUAUCUUUUUCAGCCUCUGUUAUUCAACAGAUCUAUUUUUUAUCAUCACCCAUCAUUUGUGUACUCACUGCGGUACACAAACUCAUAAAUUCAGUAAAUUCCUGGGGAAAAAAAUCACCGUAAGCACACUGUUAUUUCAGUUCACAUCCUGCAGGAUUCCAUUACCCAGAAAAAUCUAAACAGAGAUUGCUUGUGACUCAGCAUGGUAUUUCUGAGAUGAUGUUUGGUUUAUUAUGCAGUUUUUGAAUAGAGAUAGACAGUAGAGCAGAAAGGCUUUUUCUACGGCUCUUCUGCUUGUCCUUCAUUAGGGUUCCUCCACUUUGCCUUUCCUACAGUUUCUUCACUUGACCUUCUCUUAGGUUCCUCAGCUUGAUCAUCAUUACAGUUCCUCCACUCUAUCUUCCCUUCAGUUUCUUCACUUGACCUUCCCUUCAAUUCCACAGCUUGAUCAUCAUUACGGUUCCUCUGCUCGGUCUUCCCUACAGUUCCUUUACUCGAUCUUCUCUUCAGUUCCUCAGCUUUUCCUUCAUUAUGAUUCCUCCACUCUGCCUUCCUGCACUUGGCCUUCCCUACAGCUUCUCCGCUCUGCCUUCCCUACGGUUCCUCUGCUCAACCCUCUGUAUGGUUCCUCUGCUAAGGUUAUUCCACUCGACCCUUUGUGCGAUUCUUUUUAAAGUUUCCUCACUAUGGUUCUUCUGCUCAGCCCUCCCUAAAGUUCCUCCACUCGUCCCUCCCCAAGGUUUUAUUUCCAAAUGGUUCCUUCGAUUGACCCUAUCUAAGGUUUUCUCCCUAUGGCCAUCCCUAAGAUUCCUCCACUUGGCCCUCCCUAAAAUUUCUUUCCUAGGGUUCCUUCGCUCGACUUAACCUGCUCGAUGCUCCCUAAGGUUACUCUGCUCUGCCCUUUCUAAGGUUUCUCUGCUUGGCCCUUCCUAGGGUUCCUCUCCUUGGCCCCUUCCUAAGGUUCCACUGCUCAGCCCUCCCUAAGGUUACCUUCCUACGGUUACUCCAAUCGGCCCUCCCUAAGGUUCCUCCGCUCUGCUCUUUCUAAAGUUCCUCCGUUCAGCCCUCCCUACAGUUCCUUAGCUUAGCCAUUUCUAUAUAUCAUCUGCUCGGCCCCCGUAACAUUCAUCUUCUCGACCCUCCUUAAGGUUUCUCCACUUGGCCCUCCCUAAGGUUCCUUGACUCUACCCUCCCUAAGGUUUCCUCCCUACGGUUCUGUUUCUUGGCCAUCCCCAAGGUACCUCUGCUCGUUCCUCCAUAAGCUUCAUCUUCUCGUUCCUCCAUAAGGUUCCUCUGCUCGGCCUUCCCUAAGAUUCCUCCGCUCAACCCCCCUAAGGUUCCUCCGCCUGCCCCCCCCUAAAGUUCCUCCGCUUGGCCCCCCCUAAGAUUCCUCUGCUCAGCCCUCACUAAAGUUCCUCCGCUUGGCCCUCCCUAAGAUUCCUCUGCUCAGCCCUCACUAAAGUUCCUCCGCUUGGCCCUCCCUAAGAUUCCUCUGCUCGGCCCUCCCUAAGGCUCCUCCACUCGGCCCUCCCUAAGAUUCCUCUGCUCGCCCCCCCUAAGGUUCCUCCGCUGGGCCCUCCCUAAGGUUCCUCCGCUCGGCCCUCCCUAAAGUUCCUCCCCUCGGCCCUCCCUAAGGUUCCCCCGCUCGGCCCUCCCUAAGAUUCCUCUGCUCGCCCCCCCUAAGAUUCCUCUGCUCGCCCCCCCUAAGGUUCCUCCGCUCGGCCCUCACUAAAGUUCCUCCGCUCGGCCCUCCCUAAGAUUCCUCUGCUCGCCCCCCCUAAGAUUCCUCUGCUCGCCCCCCCUAAGGUUCCUCCGCUCGGCCCUCACUAAAGUUCCUCCGCUCGGCCCUCACUAAAGUUCCUCCGCUCGGCCCUCCCUAAGAUUCCUCUGCUCGCCCCCCCUAAGAUUCCUCUGCUCGCCCCCCCUAAGGUUCCUCCGCUCGGCCCUCACUAAAGUUCCUCCGCUCGGCCCUCACUAAAGUUCCUCCGCUCGGCCCUCCCUAAGAUUCCUCCGCUCGGCCCUCCCUUUGGUUCCUUUGCUUGGCCCUCCCUAAGGUUUCUCCGCUUGGCACUUCCUAAAGCUCCUCCCUAUGGUUCUUCCACUCAGCCCUUCCUACGGUUUCUUUGCUUGGCCUUCCCUAAGGUUCUCUUCCUACGGUUCCUCUGUGUGGCCCUCCCUAAGGUUUCAUCGCUAAGGUUCCUCUGCUCAGCCCUUCCAACGGUUCCUCCACUUGGCCCUUCUUAAGGUUCCUCUGCUCAGUGCUUUCUAAGGUUCCUGUUUGGCCCUUUCUAAAGUUCCCUCCCUAAGGUUUUGCCAUUCAACCCUUGUUAAGGUUCCUUAGGUUGGCCCUCUGUAAGGUUCCUCUGCUCGGCCCUUCCUAAAAAUUCCCUCCCUAAGGUUCCUUUGCUCGGACUUCCCUAAGGUUCAUCUGCUUUGCCCUUCCUAAGGUUCCCUCCCUAUGGUUCUGCCGCUCAACCCUUCCUAAGUUUCCUCUGCUCGGACCUCCCUAAGGUUCCCUCCGUAAGAUUCUUCCACUCCGCCCUUCCUAAAGUUACCUUCUAAUGGUACCUCUGCUCAGCUCUCCAGAAGGUUCCUCCACUCAGCCCUCCCUAAGGUUCCCUCGCUACAGUUUUUGCUCGGCCAUCUUUUCUGUCCUGCCUUCCCUAGGUUUUCCCACUCAGCCCUUCCAGAGGUUCCUCCGCUCUCUGCUAUUUACCUCUGCCUGGGAAAUUGAUGAGAAAACCACUUGAUUAAUUUCCAACAGCCCAAAAUUCCUCCUUCUGUAAUCUUCAGUAAAAGCUGGACCAUCGAGCAUCUCUUAAAGCCACACUAGCACAGCAAAUAAAGACGACAUGUCAGUGCCUCUACUGUGCUUUUCCCGUCUUGGUCUGCCUUUGUGAGAUGUUGAGUUUGUCGAGUGUUCGUAAACCAAGCUUGUAUGAAAAACAAUGCUAACACUUCCUAUGAAUCUUGUAUUCAUUAAAAUGCAUUAUUAUAUGGAAUAUAUAAUACUUAAAAUGUCUGUCAUAAGCUUGUAUAAUAAUCAUAAGGCGUUAUUAUUAAAGCUUUCUUUAUGAAAAGUCACCUACUUGUUCUUUAAAACAUUCUGUAUGUUAUGUAUGUUGCCAUAAGUACUUAUAAGUUAUUAUACAAACUUAUGAUGGGCCUUGUGUGUGGCACAUUAUAAAUACAGGAUUCAUAGGAAUACAUAGCAAAAAACCUUCAAAAGUCUAAACUUGUAUUUUGUAUUGCAUUGUACUCUUUGUUGCUAUGGCU